CUUUAUUGGAGAGUUUGAUCCUGGCUCAGGAUGAACGCUGGCGGCGUGCCUAAUACAUGCAAGUCGAGCGAAUGGAUUAAGAGCUUGCUCUUAUGAAGUUAGCGGCGGACGGGUGAGUAACACGUGGGUAACCUGCCCAUAAGACUGGGAUAACUCCGGGAAACCGGGGCUAAUACCGGAUAACAUUUUGAACUGCAUGGUUCGAAAUU
rnacentral:rRNA from 1 species